AGACCUGAGCCACAGCGACGACCUGAGUCAUGUUAGCCAGCUGCUGCUCCACAGACGUCUUCCACUGCUGCAUAGACUGGAGCUACAUGGAGAGCACAGCGCGGCAUCUGGAGGACUGUGCUUCUCCACGUCCAGAUGAGUUGGACGCGGAGGACUUGGACAGUUUGCGUCUCUCUCUGUCUCUUCUAACAGCUGCAUUUGGUGAAACCUAAAAGAGCAGCACAAACACACAAGGUCAGCCAAAUCAAUAUCUUCCUUUGUUUGUUAAAAACCCUCUCUGUUUCAGUUUACCUCUGCUUACUGAGGAUCUUCUCCAGCUUGGCAUCUUCUGCUGUCUCCAAGGCUGGCGAAGAGGUCAGAGGGCAAACAGUGGCGAGGUACUGAACGAGCUGCACGUGCUGACCCGGUCGAUACGAACGUCCUUUCCCUUGACUGUACAGCCACUCCGCUUUAAGGCUGUGAUUGUAACAGAGACAAGAGUACAUGAUUCAAACACAAUUCCUCUGAGAAUUCAAACUAAUAGUGACUGACAUCAUUUAAAUAUACACACCCUUCUUUUUGCGACACUACGUAGCCGUCCAGGACCUUCAGGUUCAGGCACCAACUCAUGAUAUAAGGCCGGUAGUCAAAACCUGGCAGUGACGGGGUGGCCAUAACACAGGGGUUGCUCAUUAUAGAAAGCUGCUCCAGUUCAUGGAGAGGUGCCAGGUAUGACGCCUAUGGAGGAAUUAAAAAGAAACAGGAAUCCUUUAACAAAAAAUUAAUUAGAGAAUCCCCAUUAGUAUAUUAAUACAAGAAAAAGAUAAUUACUUCAUUGAGAUCUCUUAUCUCGUUUUCUGCCAGGGAGAGAAUGGAUAAAUGGACGGGUAGGUGAGCGGGAACAGUGCGAAGUGUUGUAAUGCUGUUUCCAUGGAGUAAGAGAGUCUGAAAAUGUUAAAAAAUAGUAAUAAUAAUAAAGGAAACUGACAUGAUAAAGUUCCUUUAUAAAACAGAUGCAUCAGAGGCAGCUGCACCCACCUUCAAUGCUACCAGUUUUGUUAUGUCACCGAUGGCUGUUAUGUUAUUGUCAGAUAGAUCGAGAUGUUGAAGGGAAACACAGCUGCUGAGCUGCUCGAUGACCUGUGCAAUAAAAAUCGAAUUUACGUAUGGUUGUAUCAGGGUAAUAGAAAUCUGAAAAAACACCAGAAACAUUUAAAAGAGAUGGACAUUAAACGCAAUAAAACACUUUCAGCAGAGACAUUUUUAUAGAUGGACAGCGAGUAUCUUAAAAAUCUGUGGAUGAAACUCAACAAUCUAUUUAUUCUUUGACCCCGCUUACUGCAGCUUUAACGCAUGUGCUACAACUAAUCUGAACAUUGGGAUUUUUGUAAGUCAUUCAUUUUCUGUUUGUAAAGAGAGAUUUGUUUUUCUUGAUCUCACCUUAAUAUUGUUUCCAGACAGGUUGAGCCAUUUCAGGUGAGGGAGAUCUCUUAGCCCCUCGAUGUAGCCAAUACUGUUAUUGGGAAGAUUGAGGACUCUCAGCUCCAUCAGCCGAGACACACCCAUCAUCCUCACCAGACGGUUAUUAGCUACUGACAGCUGAAGACAGAAAGAGCAGGAGUUAAAACAGAACUAAAUGGAGUGAAAACAGCACACAUUUUACUGUCAGUACCAACCUGUUGAAGGCCUGGGCUCCUUUCCAGAUGGUCCAGCUUCAUAAUAUGGUUACGGUCCAGGAUGAGAGUGUGAGUGUCUUCAGAGCAGGUGAAAGUGGGAUCCAGCUUUUGCAAACCCUGGGCAGAAAGAUCCACCACGGGUCCUUGUGAGAGAAAAAACAAGAGAUGAUUAAAGUGUAGGUUGCUUAAUCAUCAUGACAAAUCAACACACAAAAUCUUAAAGCUGAAACAAAUUUUACACAAAUGUCAAUUUGACUAAAAACACAAAUAAGCGCCCCCACAAAAAGAAGUGAAUUCCACUGCACAAAAAGCCCAUUCUUUCAACAGUUUGAAGGGAUAAAUACCUCUCGCCCCCACGCACCCCUGCACUGCUGAUGUAUACACACAAACACUCCCUCUCAGUCAGAUAAAAAAUUUUUUGUUCACGAAAACAAAACAGAGGAUCACCAUGGCUCAUCCCUGGGUGUCUUUUACAGAUUUUGGGUAUGUAGCUAAAGUCAGGGUGGGUCAGAAAUAUCGAAGGAUAAAGGCAGAAAGCUACGUCAAGAGAUACCUCAUUCACGUUCAAUACUUAGACUUUAUGCACCUUCUUAGACAAAUCCUGCACUUUUCAGACGUUUUGUAUUCUUCAGUAAGAUGUAUAUUGUAAUGUAUCACAUAUGCUUGUGUUGCAAUAUCGUGAUUAACACAGAAUUGUUGUAUGGUGAUACUAUUGGUAUCGUGGACCAUGUAUUGCGUCCUGAUCCUAACCUCAAGUGUGCAAAAGAAAGCGAAAAAUAUGCAGUGACGUAACAUUACAGACUCCAACUGCCGUUAAACACUGAAGAAAUUGAUGCUUGAUUCUAAAAAGGGUCACUGAUUUUGAUUGAAUCUGUCAUUUCAAGUCCUACACCUUUACAACAAGCAUGCUUCAAAAUUCAGGGGGUGUGGCACAGAAGGAAUAGCUCCUUCGCUGUAGUUAGAGUUAGUCCUGGGUAAAAUUGCCUAAAGGCAAUGUCAAAAUUAAUUAUAAAAAUAGUAAUAAUAAAGAAAGAAUUUACAGUGUUUCAGUCUGAUUGUAAAGGUUGGAAGUUAGCACUGUGAUUCAGCAAUGACAUCUGAGGGCAUGAAACUUGAGUAUUAAGGACAGGACAAAAAUCUAUAACAGUGUAACUACUGUGAGUGUGUGUGUGUCUGUGUGUGAGGGAGAGAGAGAGGAAGAAAUCUUGGGGGAAGCAGUAAUUUUGGUACGAGAACUAUGGAAGACCUGAUAGAUUAACUCAUAGAUUCAGUUAUGAGGAGAUUAACAAAUGCAUGUAUUGCAAAUAGAAAACGUAUACGAAGGGGUUGUUUCUUCUACUUCUUGCUGAUCGUAAAAACACCACAAAGUUGUAAAAGUUGGUGGUGACCUUGUUAUUCUAAAUUCUUGAAUUAAAAAUUGCUACGAGAUGA